CCAACCACGGUAACUGAAAGUAAUAUUAAAAAAAUAUUAGGCCUGAAAUGUCAUUAUUUUGCAAAAGGGAACUUCCGCAACAGCAGCAAGCACAAAAUAGAGCAAAGCCUAAAAGCCAAAAAAUGUGGGUUGACUAAGCACGUAGUGGAAGUUCUCUGAAUAUGGUUAUCUUCUAAAAGGAUGCCCCCACUUGGGAGGAUAAAUCUCUCGAACGGUUGCUGACGCAAGAUUGAACAGUUAUUACCAAAAAAAAAAAAAGGGCCGGCUAGAACCUUCGACAAUUAAAUGCAAAAGUCGCUUUGGAGAAGCCAUACGUGGGGAAAACUGGCAGAGUUUCUAAAGCAGAGGCUCUUUGGUAAUUUUCUUCUCCUCGCUGCAGUUCCUCUUCAUCUAGGGUUUCUUCAUAAUGGAGAUGUCAUGUACCAGGUAAAAUUUUGAUGACUCACUGAUCCGGUUGGUGAAAUUGAACAGUCCUGUUUGAACCACUAACAAUUACUCCUAUUAGAAUUCAAUUUCUCCGUCUUCUAUGUAGAACAAGGAUAAAUGUGCAUAUGAAAAAGCUCCGAAUUUUGGAACAUCCGACAAAAUUGUUUGUUCUCUUCCUAAUGUCGUUCAGACUGACGGCCCCAACUAAGACAAACAAGCAUCGGAGAAGCCAUCAGAGGAGAAGAUAAUUGUCGUCCAUGAGAACCUCCAGCCUAUGAUAAGUUUGGUGCUGUCCAUGUCGAAGUCCUUAAGUCCCUUCCCAUGCAUUCUUCGUCACGAGGCUGCAGGACAUGGUCUUACUGCAGAUGGAUGAUGUGGCGUGAUUUUACGCCACAAAUUGAUGCUUUUCUGCUAUAAGUUUUACUUGUUUUUAAGCAAGUGUAUGUGAUUUUACGUGGCUUUUAGUGUUUUUCAGGAAAGGGAACAAAUUCGGAAUGGAAACAGUUGAAAGUGCAGAAGUGGCAGUAAAGUAAGUCUACGGUCCAUAUUCUCAAAUACGGGCCGUAUUCCAUGGGCGUAUUAAAGAAUAAUAGAACCAGAAAGGCAGGCUGAGGAAAUAGUGAUUUACGAACUCAGUUUACAGACUGUAUUUCAGUUUACGGUCCGUAUUUCAAAGCGUAUUUAACCAUUCGAGCAUUUGGCAGAAAGUCGGAGUUUUGGAAGUUGAAAGACGACUGGGCAGUUUACGGGCCGUAAACCACUUUACGGUCUAUAUUUCAAAAGAUUGAAGUUGCUCACAACUGGAAGGACGACUUGGUCGUAAACCACUUUACAGACCGUAUUUCGUAUCAACGGGACCAAAGUGCAAAUCUGCAACUUUCACGUUUUCAGAACCUAUAAAUAGUCAUUGUAGGGUUUUAAUAGUUAUCAGUUAUUAUAUUUUUGUCUCUUGACUUAGAACAUUAAAUACUCUCUAGUUUUUGAAGGUUCAAACAUCAAUUCAAGUAUUAUCAAUUCCUCU